CCUACGGGUGGCAGCAGUGGGGAAUAUUGCACAAUGGGCGCAAGCCUGAUGCAGCGACGCCGCGUGGGGGAUGACGGCCUUCGGGUUGUAAACUCCUUUCGCUAGGGACGAAGCUUUUUGUGACGGUACCUAGAUAAGAAGCACCGGCUAACUACGUGCCAGCAGCCGCGGUAAUACGUAGGGUGCGAGCGUUGUCCGGAAUUACUGGGCGUAAAGGGCUCGUAGGUGGUUUGUCGCGUCGUCUGUGAAAUUCCGGGGCUUAACUCCGGGCGUGCAGGCGAUACGGGCAUAACUUGAGUACUGUAGGGGUAACUGGAAUUCCUGGUGUAGCGGUCAAAUGCGCAGAUAUCAGGAGGAACACCGAUGGCGAAGGCAGGUUACUGGGCAGUUACUGACGCUGAGGAGCGAAAGCAUGGGUAGCGAACAGGAUUAGAUACCCCAGUAGUC
rnacentral:rRNA from 1 species